ACAUUUUCUCUUGCUAAAAUUCUCUCAUUUUCUGCUCAUUCACUCGCUAUCUCCUCAAUGGCCUCUAUUAUCACGUUCAAUUGCUCUCUCGCUGCUCCAACCCGGGCCUCUUCCGGAUCCACCAGAAAACCAGAACCUAGUCUCAGGAGACCCGCUUCUUCCACCUGGUGGGCCCCUCUUUUCGGCUGGUCCUCAGAUCCCGACUACGUUAACAGCCGCCUCCAGCAGCGGUGCUUCCAGCAUAGAUGUAUCAGAUAAACAAUCCGCUAUAUCGCAGUUCGAUUCUGAAUUGGAUCGACCAAGGCCCAGGUUUACUUUGGGUUGCUUCACAGAAGAUAAAGCCAGGCAGCUUAGAAAGAAGACAAUGGAGAAUAGUUCGUUUCAUGAUAUAAUGUACCACUCAGCGAUCGCCUCUCGUCUGGCGUCCGAUACAUCUGGCCGGACCGAUAAGUAAACCGAAGCUACGGAGUCCGGCAAGUUCCCGAAUUUUAGGGGCCGAAAAUUUGUCGAAACUUCGAAUCAUAUUUGUG
rnacentral:misc_RNA from 1 species